GACGAACGCUGGCGACGCGCUUAACACAUGCAAGUCGAACGGAAAGGCCUGCUUUCCCUUGUGGAUUGCGGGUACUCGAGUGGCGAACGGGUGAGUAACACGUGAGUGAUCUGCCCCCAACUUGGGUAUAAGCCUGGGAAACUGGGUCUAAUUCCCGAUAGGACUGCAGGGUGGUGCUGUGGUGGGAAACGGUUUUCUAGUGGUUGGGGAUGGGCUCGCGGCCUAUCAGCUUGUUGGUGGGGUAAUGGCCUACCAAGGCGGCGACGGGUAGCCGGCCUGAGAGGGUGGACGGCCACAUUGGGACUGGGAUACGGCCCAGACUCCUACGGGAGGCAGCAGUGGGGAAUAGUGCACAAUGGGCGGAAGCCUGAUGCAGCGACGCCGCGUGGGGGAUGACGGCCUUCGGGUUGUAAACUCCUUUCGACCGCGAGGAAGCCACCUGGUUGGAAGGGUGGUGACGGUAGUGGUAGAAGAAGCACCGGCUAACUACGUG
rnacentral:rRNA from 1 species